rnacentral:rRNA from 1 species
GUAGUGUAUAUCAAAAUUGUUGCGGUUAAAGCGCUCGUAGUUGGAUUACAAAAGCUCUAAAACAAUCAAGUCCUAUCAUAUAUUGGUUUGAUUGUUGUGGGGUUUUUUUCUUGUGAGAGCCAUAUGUGAGAUUAAAUUCUUGUGUAUGGUCACUUGCAAAAUGUGCCUUGAAUAAAGCACAGUGCUCAAAGCAGGCGUAACGCUUGAAUGUAAUAGCAUGGAACGAUUAUUGUUGACCUAAUCAACUGUUGGUUGUUGAAUACCAAUAUGGUCUAGAUUAAAAGGAACAUUUGAGGGCGUUAGUACUUGGUGGCGAGGGGUGAAAUUCUUAGACCCAUCAAAGACUAACUAAUGCGAAAGCAUUCGCCAAGAAUGUUUUCAUUAAUCAAGAACGAAAGUUAGAGGUUCGAAGACGAUCAGAUACCGUCCUAGUUCUAUACAGUAAACUAUGCCAACAUGGGAUCAGUCCGGAACUAUCCAGGUUGGGCCCUCAGAGAAAUCAAGUUUUUAGGUCCUUGGGGGAGUGCGCACGCAAGUGAGAAACUUAAAGAAAUUGACGGAAUGGCACCRCCAGGAGUGGAGCCUGCGGCUUAAUUUGACUCAACACGGGGAAACUCACCAGGUCCAGACAUUGAUAGGAUUGACAGACUGAGAGAUCUUUCAUGAUACGAUGAUUGGUGGUGCAUGGCCGUUCUUAGUUGGUGGAGUGAUCUGUCAGGUUAAUUCCGGUAACGAGCGAGACCACGGUCUUUAAUUGAUUACUAAUAUAUUUAUGUCAUAUUAAAUCUUAAAGAGACAACCGGAUUCAAGCCGGGGGAAGCGUGGCAAUAACAGGUCUGUGAUGCCCUUCGAUGUUCUGGGCUGCACGUGCGCUACAAUGAUAGUGACAACAAGUUCCUGCUCUGAGAUGAGUGGGGAAUCUUUAAAAUCGCUAUCUUGCUUUGGAUUGAGCCUUGUAAUAAUUGCUCAUGAAAGAGGAAUUCCUCGUAAGCGCGAGUCAUCAACUCGUGUUGAAUACGUCUCUGCCCUUUGUACACACCGCCCGUCGCUACUACCGACUGGAUGAUUCUUCGAAGAGUUAGGACCGGUUGAUCUGCAAAGAACGACUGGGAUAAGCCCUAAGAUGAAUGAUCUGCAGGAAGUAAAAGUCGUAACAAGGUUUCCGUAG